rnacentral:rRNA from 1 species
AGAGUUUGAUCCUGGCUCAGGAUGAACGCUAGCGGCAGGCCUAACACAUGCAAGUCGAACGGUAAGGACCCGCUUGCGGGUUACACGAGUGGCGCACGGGUGAGUAACGCGUAUGCAACCUACCCUAAACAGGGGGAUAGCCCGAAGAAAUUCGGAUUAAUACCCCAUAACAUCACGCUAUUGCAUAUUAGUGUGAUUAAAACUCCGGUGGUUAAGGAUGGGCAUGCGUGACAUUAGAUAGUUGGUGAGGUAACGGCUCACCAAGUCUUCGAUGUCUAGGGGGCCUGAGAGGGUGGUCCCCCACACUGGUACUGAGACACGGACCAGACUCCUACGGGAGGCAGCAGUGAGGAAUAUUGCGCAAUGGACGAAAGUCUGACGCAGCCAUGCCGCGUGCAGGAUGACGGCCCUAUGGGUUGUAAACUGCUUUUUUACAGGAAGAAAUCUCCCGACGUGUCGGGAACUGACGGUACUGUAUGAAUAAGCACCGGCUAACUCCGUGCCAGCAGCCGCGGUAAUACGGAGGGUGCAAGCGUUAUCCGGAUUUAUUGGGUUUAAAGGGUGCGUAGGCGGGAUAAUAAGUCAGUGGUGAAAUACUGCAGCUUAACUGUAGAACUGCCAUUAAUACUGUUAUUCUUGAGUGCGAUUGAGGUAGGCGGAAUGUGUAAUGUAGCGGUGAAAUGCUUAGAUAUUACACAGAACACCGAUUGCGUAGGCAGCUUACUAAGUCGUAACUGACGCUGAGGCACGAAAGCGUGGGGAUCGAACAGGAUUAGAUACCCUGGUAGUCCACGCUGUAAACGAUGAUCACUAGCUGUUGGCGAUACACCGAUCAGCGGCAAAGCGAAAGCAUUAAGUGAUCCACCUGGGGAGUACGAUCGCAAGAUUGAAACUCAAAGGAAUUGACGGGGGCCCGCACAAGCGGAGGAACAUGUGGUUCAAUUCGUCGCUACGCGAAAAACCUUACCUGGGCUUGACAUGCUGGGAUUAAUCCUGGGAAACCAGGAGGAUUGCCUUCGGGUGUAACCAGCACAGGUGCUGCAUGGCUGUCGUCAGCUCGUGUCGUGAGAUGUUGGGUUAAGUCCCGCAACGAGCGCAACCCUCGCUUUUAGUUGCCAUCAUUUAGUUGGGCACUCUAAAGGAACUGCCCCGGUUAACGGGGAGGAAGGUGGGGAUGACGUCAAGUCCUCAUGGCCUUUAUGCCCAGGGCUACACACGUGCUACAAUGGUCUGUACAAAGGGUAGCCAACUCGCGAGAGUGAGCUAAUCCCAAAAAACAGGCCUCAGUUCGGAUUGAAGUCCGCAACUCGACUUCAUGAAGUUGGAAUCGCUAGUAAUCCCAUAUCAGCAUGAUGGGGUGAAUACGUUCCCGGGCCUUGUACACACCGCCCGUCACACCACGAAAGUCGGCUGCACCAGAAGUCGUUAUACUAACCUAGCUUUGCAUGGAGGGAGACGCCUAAGGUGUGGUUGGUGAUUGGGGUGAAGUCGUAACAAGGUA